UGACCUGGGGGCCCUGGCCAAGGGACACCUAAGUGCUGCAUGGGGCUAGAACUCCCGUCCAGUGACACUUGUUUCAGGCUUCAAAGUAUGUGGCCAUAGUAUCUUAUUGUGUAACCAUCCCAAUCAUUCAUUGUUCAUAAAUUAUUUUAACUGUGCCAACUAUAGAUAAACAACCAAUUGAAGAAAUCCAUUCUCAUAAUAACAUAUUGUAAGAUACUGUUUAACUGAAGCAUGAA
rnacentral:misc_RNA from 1 species